rnacentral:rRNA from 1 species
AACAAGGUCUCCGUUGGUGAACCAGCGGAGGGAUCAUUACUGAGUUACCGCUCUAUAACCCUUUGUGAACAUACCUAACUGUUGCUUCGGCGGGCAGGGGGUGCCGCCUGCGGACCCCCCUCCCGGCCCUGCCCUCACGGGCGGAGCGCCCGCCGGAGGAUACCAAACUCUAUUUUAACGACGUUUCUUCUGAGUGGCACAAGCAAAUAAUUAAAACUUUCAACAACGGAUCUCUUGGUUCUGGCAUCGAUGAAGAACGCAGCGAAAUGCGAUAAGUAAUGUGAAUUGCAGAAUUCAGUGAAUCAUCGAAUCUUUGAACGCACAUUGCGCCCGCCAGCAUUCUGGCGGGCAUGCCUGUUCGAGCGUCAUUUCAACCCUCAAGCUCUGCUUGGUGUUGGGGCCCUACGGUUGACGUAGGCCCUUAAAGGUAGUGGCGGACCCUCUCGGAGCCUCCUUUGCGUAGUAACUAACGUCUCGCACUGGGAUUCGGAGGGACUCUUGCCGUAAAACCCCCAAAUUUUUAAAGGUUGACCUCGGAUCAGGUAGGAAUACCCGCUGAACUUAAGCAUAUCAAUAAGCCGGAGGAA